GCCCCGAUAACUCAGCCUGGUAGAGUGCUUGUUUCGUAAACAAGAAGUCGAGGGUUCAAAUCCCUUUCGGGGCU
rnacentral:tRNA from 1 species